AACAGGUUAAUAUUCCUGUACUUGGUGUUACUGCGAAGGGGGGACGGAGAAGGCUAUGUUGGCCGGGCGACGGUUGUCCCGGUUUAAGCGUGUAGGCUGGUUUUCCAGGCAAAUCCGGAAAAUCAAGGCUGAGGCGUGAUGACGAGGCACUACGGUGCUGAAGCAACAAAUGCCCUGCUUCCAGGAAAAGCCUCUAAGCAUCAGGUAACAUCAAAUCGUACCCCAAACCGACACAGGUGGUCAGGUAGAGAAUACCAAGGCGCUUGAGAGAACUCGGGUGAAGGAACUAGGCAAAAUGGUGCCGUAACUUCGGGAGAAGGCACGC
rnacentral:rRNA from 1 species